CCUACGGGGGGCAGCAGUGGGGGAUAUUGCACAAUGGAGGGAACUCUGAUGCAGCGACGCCGCGUGAGGGAAGAAGGUUUUCGGAUUGUAAACCUCUGUCUUCGGUGACGAAACGAGACGGUAGCCGAGGAGGAAGCCACGGCUAACUACGUGCCAGCAGCCGCGGUAAUACGUAGGAUGCGAGCGUUAUCCGGAUUUAUUGGGUUUAAAGGGCGCGUAGGCGGGCUGUUAAGUCAGCGGUAAAAGCCCGGGGCUCAACCCCGGCGAGCCGUUGAAACUGGCUGUCUUGAGAUGUCGAGGGGUAU
rnacentral:rRNA from 1 species